rnacentral:rRNA from 1 species
ACGUAGGGGGCGAGCGUUAUUCGGAAUUACUGGGUGUAAAGGGUAUGUAGGCGGCCCUUCAAGUCGCGUGUCAAAGUCCAGUGCUCAACGCUGGGUGUGCGCGCGAUACUGACGGGCUUGAGGGCUGGAGAGGUGAGCGGAAUUCCCGGUGUAGUGGUAAAAUACGUAGUGAUCAGGAGAAACACCGACGGCGCGGGCAGCUCACUAGACAGUUUCUGACUCUAAGCUGCGUAACUGUGGUGAGCAAACAG